CUAAUUUCUCUUCUAUGACUACAGGUGGCAGUGUAGAAGCCAAGAACAAAAAUUGGCAGAAAUUGUGUUCUGUGUACAAGAACAUGAAGAGUGUACUCAUGACUAAGCACAGGAACCUGGAAAACCACAGGAGAGCAGUUUGUCUAAACCUUUCAGUUGCUCCUGAGAGAAAGUGGUUCUACUGCAAGUGCCCGUGGAUGACCAGGUCACCUUGUGUCAGCCCCUCUGCAGGAGCUGGCCUUGGGCACAGUUUGGGUUAUGCCCUGUUGUAAAGGAAGUUGCAGAGAGAAUUAUUUGUUUUGCUGUUAAAGUGGGCUAAGACUGUGCACCCCAUAGGUAUGACCAAGCAGCCACCACUAAACUGUUAAAUUAUAGUGACUUGAGGUUAUGGAAUCCAAGUAGAAAAGAUUAAUUAUUCCCACCCAGUGUUUAAAGUACUGACCAGGAAACCAUAGUUCAGGUAUGGCUUUGUGGGCACUCAUCCCUGAAAUUGCAAGGUGUCUGAUGGGGAAUAGUAAGACCCUGAUCUCUGGUUUUGGGUGCAUCAUAAUGCUUUCAAAAUACUGUGUGCCUUGCAUAGAAUACCCUGUAAAGCUUUCAAAGUUCAGUUACAAAUGAAAGGUGGCUAAAUCUAGGUCUUCAGGCUGGUGUGCAGCUGAGGGCUCUCCUUAGCAAUCUGGCUAUCAUGUUUUUUGUGUCACCUGUUACUUCUGAGUGAGCAUCAGACCAGUAGGUCUUUUAUU
rnacentral:lncRNA from 12 species